GGCGGAUGGCAAGGUCUCGUAGCUUACAUCAAUUUGGGUUCUUACUACAUUUUUGGUAUUCCUCUCGGAUAUCUUCUUGGCUAUGUGGCUAACUUCGGAGUCAUGGGACUAUGGGGAGGAAUGAUAGGUGGACUAGCUUUGCAAACACUACUACUCUCAAUUGUACUCUACAGAAUUGACUGGAAUAAAGAGGUUGAGCAGACAACAGAACGGAUGCGAAUCUGGGGAGGUCAAGACUUAGAAACAGAGAAAAACCUCCAAAUCCCAAAUUUCACAACGGCUUAAUUAAGCGCUGAAAAAAAACUUUAUUAGGUGCCUCACACAGCUAAUAUUUUUGAGUCCAUUAAAUUUUGGGUUUACCUUUUUGGUGUGAUAAAAAGAAGAUUUUUCCACAGGCUGGAUUU
rnacentral:misc_RNA from 1 species